AUAGAACGACGGCGGCAGGCUUAACACCUGCAAGUCGAACGGUAACAUAAAGAAGCUUGCUUCUUUGAUGACGAGCGGCGGACGGGUGAGUAAUGCUUGGGAAUCUAGCUUAUGGAGGGGGAUAACUACGGGAAACUGUAGCUAAUACCGCGUAAUAUCGAAAGAUUAAAGUGUGGGACCUUCGGGCCACAUGCCAUAGGAUGAGCCCAAGUGGGAUUAGGUAGUUGGUGAGGUAAAGGCUCACCAAGCCGACGAUCUCUAGCUGGUCUGAGAGGAUGACCAGCCACACUGGGACUGAGACACGGCCCAGACUCCUACGGGAGGCAGCAGUGGGGAAUAUUGCGCAAUGGGGGCAACCCUGACGCAGCCAUGCCGCGUGAAUGAAGAAGGCCUUCGGGUUGUAAAGUUCUUUCGGUAGCGAGGAAGGCAUUUAGUUUAAUAGACUAGAUGAUUGACGUUAACUACAGAAGAAGCACCGGCUAACUCCGUGCCAGCAGCCGCGGUAAUACGGAGGGUGCGAGCGUUAAUCGGAAUAACUGGGCGUAAAGGGCACGCAGGCGGUGACUUAAGUGAGGUGUGAAAUCCCCGGGCUUAACCUGGGAAUUGCAUUUCAUACUGGGUCGCUAGAGUACUUUAGGGAGGGGUAGAAUUCCACGUGUAGCGGUGAAAUGCGUAGAGAUGUGGAGGAAUACCGAAGGCGAAGGCAGCCCCUUGGGAAUGUACUGACGCUCAUGUGCGAAAGCGUGGGGAGCAAACAGG
rnacentral:rRNA from 1 species